UGCGUAGGCGGAAAAUUAAGUCAGUGGUGAAAUCCUGCAGCUCAACUGUAGAACUGUCAUUGAUACUGAUUUUCUUGAAUACAGUUGAGGUAGGCGGAAUAUGUAAUGUAGCGGUGAAAUGCUUAGAUAUUACAUAGAACACCGAUUGCGAAGGCAGCUUACUAAACUGUGAUUGACGCUGAGGCACGAAAGCGUGGGGAGCGAACAGGAUUAGAUACCCUGGUAGUCC
rnacentral:rRNA from 1 species